GCAGCCAAGCACGGCGAAGCAUGACAACAUUGACAAGCAUGCUGUGAGUUCGUGGCGGUUCGUCAGCGUUGAAUUUGGUCAGCGGAUAGGAUUUUGAAUGAGCCCGCAGUAGUUCCAGAUUAAUACUUCAAGUUAGCUUCAAGUUAUUAAACAGAAAGUUCAACAUGAAGCGAAAUUUGUAGAGGAAAACCAGCAAAAAAGAAAAGAAAAAAGGAAGCGGCCAAGAAAAAGGAAGCGGGCGGGGACGAGAAACAUAUUUUUUUUACUUGGCCUUACGUGUAUGGAAGUAUGGAACUGAUAAGAUAUUAACGUACUGAAAAGCCACCUUCAAAUUGUUUCUUAUUAAUAAAUGAUAUUAUAAUUAAAAGAGGAGUAUUUUUAUAAAUAACACUAAAAUCAGGUUUUUAUUUGGUCCGGGCGAUUGUAAUUGGAACGAGGUUGCAUGUUUAUAGCUGAUGUAAUAACACAUAGUCAAUUUAUCUCGGCAAUCAGUGACUGAUUUGCAUACAGCACACAAAAGACAAGAUAGAUCCAGA